rnacentral:rRNA from 1 species
CCCUUAGAUGUUCUGGGCUGCACGCGCGCUACACUGAUGCGUUCAUCGAGUUUACGCCCUGGCCCGGCAGGGUUGGGUAAUCUUUUGAAAACGCAUCGUGAUGGGGAUAGAUUAUUGCAAAUAUUAAUCUUGAACGAGGAAUUCCUAGUAAGCGCAAGUCAACAGCUUGCGUUGAUUACGUCCCUGCCCUUUGUACACACCGCCCGUCGCUACUACUGAUUGGAUGUUUAAGCGAGGUUCUCGAACUGCUAGCGACUUAGCUUCGGUGAGGUCGCAGUGUGGGAAGUGAACCUAGCUUUGGUGUCUAGAGGAAGUAAAAGUCGUAACA